rnacentral:rRNA from 1 species
GGCGGCGUGCCUAACACAUGCAAGUCGAACGAGAAAGUUGGCUUCGGCCGAUGAGUAAAGUGGCGCACGGGUGAGUAAUGCGUGGAUAAUCUGCCCUUAAGUUCGGAAUAACGUACCGAAAGGUGCGCUAAUACCGGAUAAUACUGAGUGACUACUGUUGCUUAGUCAAAGAAGGCUUCUGUUUACAUGCUUUUGCUGAAGGAUGAGUCCGCGUACCAUUAGCUAGUUGGUAGGGUAAUGGCCUACCAAGGCGACGAUGGUUAGCUGGUCUGAGAGGAUGAUCAGCCACACUGGAACUGAGACACGGUCCAGACUCCUACGGGAGGCAGCAGUGAGGAAUAUUGCGCAAUGGGGGCAACCCUGACGCAGCAACGCCGCGUGAGUGAGGAAGGUUUUCGGACCGUAAAGCUCUGUCGAGCGGGAAGAAAUGUAUCAUGGCUAAUAUCCAUGAUACUUGACGGUACCGCUAAAGGAAGCACCGGCUAACUCCGUG